rnacentral:rRNA from 1 species
UACGUAGGGCGCAAGCGUUGUCCGGAAUUAUUGGGCGUAAAGAGCUCGUAGGCGGUUUGUCACGUCUGCUGUGAAAACCUAAGGCUCAACCUUGGGCUUGCAGUGGGUACGGGCAGACUAGAGUGCGGUAGGGGUGACUGGAAUUCCUGGUGUAGCGGUGGAAUGCGCAGAUAUCAGGAAGAACACCAAUGGCGAAGGCAGCUCUCUGGGACGGUACUGACGCUGAGACGCGAAAGCGUGGGGAGCAAACAGG